CCUACGGGGGGCAGCAGUGGGGGAUAUUGCACAAUGGGGGAAACCCUGAUGCAGCGACGCCGCGUGUGGGAAGACGGUCUUCUGGAUUGUAAACCACUGUCCCCAGGGACGAAAAUGACGGUACCUGGGGAGGAAGCUCCGGCUAACUACGUGCCAGCAGCCGCGGUAAUACGUAGGGAGCAAGCGUUGUCCGGAAUUACUGGGUGAAAAGGGAGCGUAGGCGGGGAUGCAAGUUGGGUGUAAAAACUACCGGCUCAACCGAUAGUCGCACUCAAAACUGCAGCUCUUGAGUGAAGUAGAGGCAGGCGGAAUUCCUAGUGUAGCGGUGAAAUGCGUAGAUAUUAGGAGGAACACCAGUGGCGAAGGCGGCCUGCUGGGCUUUUACUGACGCUGAGGCUCGAAAGUGUGGGGAGCAAACAGGAUUAGAUACCCCGGUAGUC
rnacentral:rRNA from 1 species